rnacentral:rRNA from 1 species
CUACGGGUGGCUGCAGUGGGGAAUAUUGGACAAUGGGCGCAAGCCUGAUCCAGCAAUGCCGCGUAAGUGAAGACGGCCUUAGGGUUGUAAAACUCUUUCGCUAGGGAAGAUAAUGACUGUACCUAGUAAAGAAGUCCCGGCUAACUCCGUGCCAGCAGCCGCGGUAAUACGGAGGGGACUAGCGUUGUUCGGAAUUACUGGGCGUAAAGAGUUCGUAGGCGGACUGACAAGUUAGAGGUGAAAUCCCAGGGCUCAACCCUGGAACUGCCUUUAAAACUGUCAGUCUAGAGACCGGAAGAGGUUAGGGGAAUACCUAGUGUAGAGGUGAAAUUCGUAGAUAUUAGGUGGAACACCAGUGGCGAAGGCGCCUAACUGGUCCGGUACUGACGCUGAGGAACGAAAGCGUGGGGAGCAAACAGGAUUAGAUACCCUCGUAGUC